rnacentral:rRNA from 1 species
CGUGUAGGUGGUUCUGUAUGUCUAUCGUGAAAGCGUACGGCUCAACCGUAUCUCGUCGGUAGAAACUGCAGGACUUGAGGCUGGGAGGGGCUGGUGGAAUUCCCUGUGUAGCGGUGAAAUGCGUAGAGAUGGGGGAGAACACUCGUGGCGAAGGCGGCCAGCUAGACCAGUUCUGACACUGAGGCGCGAUAGCGUGGGAGCAAACA